rnacentral:lncRNA from 1 species
ACAGGGGUCUGGGAAAGACAGAGGCUUUGUUAGAGCCGGCAGCUGAGGGCCGAGGCCGAGCAGGGGUUAGGCCAGCACAGGACGAAAAGGAAGAAAGUUCCAGGUGGAGUCUGGUGGAGAAAGACCGACCUGGAAGGCACCAGCAUGUGCACGUGGCAACUGAGGUCGAGGACGUGCCUGAGAGAGAGGAGGAAGGUGCCCUGCGGACCGGGUAGGGUGCGGAGGUCGGGAAUGGAGAACGGUCGUUGGGCAGGUCCGGGUACCCGUAGCCAGAACCACCCGGGUGUGCGCAGCUCGGCCAGGCCCCGCCUCCCGGCGUCCCCGCCCCCUGCUGGGCCUCUCUCCGCAGCCGCGAGACCCGCGCUUGGCGCAUAGGCCGGUUCUAAUUUACAAGAACACCGCGGCCUGAGGCCGGAGAGUCCCUUCAACCCGGGAGGCGGCGGCUGCAGGGAGCCGAGACGGCGCCAUUGCCCUCCAGCCUGGGCAAAAAGAGCGAAACUCCGUCUCAAAAAAAAAAAAACAUGGCCGAAACCAGGAAGCUGCGCGAUGGCGCCACGGCCCCUCUUCUCCCGGCCUGUGUCCGGAAGGUUUCCCUCCGAGGCGCCCCGGCUCCCGCAAGCGGAGGAGAGGGCGGGACGUGCCGGGGCCGGAGCUCAGAGGCCCUGGGGCCGCUCUGCUCUCCCGCCAUCGCAAGGGCGGCGCUGACCUGAGGCCUCCCCGCAAAGGUCCCCGAGGCGGCGGCGGCGGCGGGCUGUGAGAACCGCAGAAGAACGCUGGGCGCGCAGCGACCCGUCCACCCCCGCGAGGAGAGACUUCCACAGAGGCAGCGUUUCCACAGCCCAAAGCCACGUUUCUAGGGUGAUGCAGCCCCAGUAAGUUCCUGGCGGGGAAGCUCACGGCUGUCAAAAGAACUCUUCGCUCCAGCCGGCGCACGAAGGGGAGGAGGGCAGGAGGCUGCCGCCCGCACAGGUCAUCUGAUCACGUCGCCCGCCCUAGUCUGCUUUUGUGAAUCUCCACUUUGUUCAACCCCCACCCGCCGUCUCUCCCUCCCUGCGCCUUCCCUCUAACCUUAAAGACCCAGCUACCUCUACGCAAAUGGUAGCUACCUCUGCGCAGGUGGAAGUUGAGUUCGGUUCACGCGGGACCCUCUUCCCUGUGGCAAGCUGCUGAAGGAGACCUGCUGUUACUGCUUUAGCUGCUGUUCUGCUUAAUCUCAGACAGCUGGAAGGUAGUAUUCCGCCCUCGCCCAGCCACCCGAGUAAAUGAGAAUGAUGACUGACUGAGACCCUGAUGGUGGUGGCUUAGGCUUAAUCUCAGACAGCUGGAAGGUAGUAUUCCGCCCUCACCCAGCCACCCGAGUAAAUGAGAAUGAUGACUGACUGAGACCCUGAUGGUGGUGGCUUAGGCAAGAUGAACGUCUGAAAUGGAGGCCCAGGGCUGCCACGAUGGCUCUGUAGUCAUCAGGGAGGGAGCUCCUUUUAUCUUGUUACCUACUCCCCUCUUGUGCCCCUUUCUUCCCUUGAUCUAAGAAGGUUGCUCCGGAUCUCGCCAUCUGGCCUGCGUUCAAUCAGCAGAAGCUUCCUGGAGGAGCAGGAGGAGGCACUGUGCUCGCAUCACAUACCAGUGGCCAGAAGUUGGCUUCAGGGAAGCUCAGGAAAUAGGAUGCGAGAAGCCAUGAGACCUCCCCAAACUCUGCAGUAACAGAGUCAACAAGACAAUGGCUUAAAGAUGGAGAGACCAGUUGAUCGGUCACACAAGCUGUUCCACGAUAAUUCUUGUGUCAGAAGGGGAGGCUGACUACCAGGACCACUGGCCCCACUUCCAGCCCCUCCAUUCUGAGUACACUUCAGAGGGCUCUGGCAGGGUGAGGGGGUCUUGGUGGUGCCACAGAGAGUAAAGGUCUAGCACACCCAUUGUGGAGAUAUUUCAUGGGGACAACCCAGUGACUUCACUUGAAGUAAAGUGGGAUUUUCCAACCUUGAGAUUCUUAUUUUCUUUGCACGUGCCCAGCUUCCUUUCAAGUCUCUGGCCAAUGCAAUGUGAGCAGAAGUGAAGGGGCAACUUUCAGGUGAUGACUUGGAAAAGAAAGCUUAGUCCUCUGCUUCUCCUGUCACCCGAAAGAGAAACAGAGGCUUGUCUUGUUGAAGCCAGUGUGUUUGGUGUCUUUUUGUAUAGUGGCUUAGACAGUGGCCUAACUAGAAGACCAAGGCUCAAAGGAACACAUUUUGAGCUUCUCCACAGUUUGAGAACCUCUACAUUACCUACACCAAGCCUUCCCCAGCACUCAAUUUAUGGAAGACCAUUUCUCUUCUCAUGACACAUGUCCUCAUGUUGCUUUGGCCUGUUUUAAAGCUUUCUCAACUCCAUCUCAAUAAAGAAAUCUGCAGCUUUGUUGGAUGAGAGGAUCUAAAAAGUUCGUUCUUCCAAUCGGUUGUAAAUAUAGACACUAAUUUAUAAACUGACACAGGAACACACAGCAAAUUAGUAGAAAAUCCGAUUCCUGUUCCCUUUUCUCCUUGCAUUGUUUCCUGCCAAUGCUCACCAUUUCUUUAUCCUUUCCACUCUUCCUUGCUCCUCCUUCCCUUUAAUUUUUCUCUGUUGUGCCUAAAUAAGCUGUCCAUGCAUGGCACUCCAUGGGCUCUGAUAACAGACUCAACAAGACAAUGACUUAAAGAUGGAGUGACCAGCUGAUCAGUCACACAAGUUGUUCCAGUGUAAUUAUUUUCACAGGUGUCUCAGUUUGGAUGAUAAAUUAUAUGAACACUCUACUUACAGAACAAAGACCUUUAUUUAUGUCUCUCUUGCUUCAAAGUCCAAGGUGAGCAUGCCUGCCUGGCAGCUCUGCCUCAAUUCCUUUUAAAUCAUUCCUUUGUCAUACUUCAGCACACUGCUGUCAUCUGUAUGGUUGAGCUGGACUGCUGCCAUGUUGAGUCACCAGUGACUUUUUGAUUCUUUAAUUCCCAGUUUGACUGGCAUUCCUCUGUGUGUGUGUAUUUAGUUCUAUGCAGUUUUAUCACAUGUGUAGGCUUGUGUAACCACUGCCACAGCCAAGAUACAGAACAGCCAA